GCUGGGAGCAUCCGAGGAGAGGGUCCUGGGGCAGCAGAGGGAAGGCAGGCGCCGUGCACAAGCUCCCGGGACAGCUCGUCCGGGCACCAGUGACAGCAGCUCUUUCCCAGUGAACACCAGUGGGGGGGGGCAACGGGGUGUGUACGGGCUGUGUCCGCACGCAGAGCCCCACCUCCUCCGAAUCAGCAUUUCUGCAUCCUUUUCCGUGCAUCACAGAGCAGCAGGUAAAGUCUGGCUGGCACCUGCACACACACACACACACACACACACACACACUCCUACACUCGCACCCCUGCACGCUCAACACCCCUCUGCCGGGGAGGGGAGAGACACCUUCCCACACUCCUGCGUGUUGCAUCUUCCUCCUCCUCACGGGCGAGCUUGGCUGGGAGCAUCCCCGCGCUCGCCUCAGGGCUGCUCUGCCUCUCCUCGCUGUCUCCGGCUGCAAGAGCAGCAGCGCUCAGGCACGGAGCUGUGCUCAGCGGGGCCCCGCUGCCCGGGGGACGAGCGCUGCAGGUAGCCAAGCCCAGCGGGGGGGCAGAGAGCCAAGCACUGGGGGUUCAGUGCAACCCCAGCAGCUGAAACGUCCCAGCACCUGGAGUAUCCUGGGUGCAGAGCAUCCCUGGCAUCUGGAGCAUCCUGGGAUCCAGAGCAUCUACAGCAUCUGAAGUAUCUUGGGGUCCAGAGCAUCUGGAGCAUCCUGGGGUCCAGAUUAUCCCCUGGUCCAGAGCAUCAGAGCAUCCAGAGCACCCCCAGCAUCUCGAGCAUCCCGGCCGCCCGGAGCAUCCCUGGCAUCGUGAGCAUCAAGCCCACCAGAGCAUCCCGUUGCCCGGAGCAGCCCCGGCGUCGUGGGCAUCCCGUCAUCCAGAGCAUCCCAAGCCUCCCUGGUUGUCCAGAGCAUCCCCAGCAUCCAGGGACAUCCCACCGCCGGGGAAAAUGCAGAGACGAGGAGAUGCCUGGCUGUGAGUAACGGGGAGGGGAACCUUGCUACUGCUGAUCGGCUCCUGGGAAUGUCACUCUGCCCUGACUGCCAGUGAAGAGAGGUGGGGGGAAGAGAGGUUGAGGAGGAGAGGAGAAAGGAGGAUGGACAGUGAGAUGGUUCUUCUUGCCCUGGAGCUGGCUCUGGCGAUGAUCACCUAGCGCAGGUCACGGCCGGAGAAGGUCCCCCCAGCUCCAGAGCCA
rnacentral:lncRNA from 1 species